rnacentral:rRNA from 1 species
AGCGAACGCUGGCGGCAGGCUUAACACAUGCAAGUCGAGCGGGCGUAGCAAUACGCCAGCGGCAGACGGGUGAGUAACGCGUGGGAACGUACCUUUUGGUUCGGAACAACACAGGGAAACUUGUGCUAAUACCGGAUAAGCCCUUACGGGGAAAGAUUUAUCGCCGAAAGAUCGGCCCGCGUCUGAUUAUCUAGUUGGUGAGGUAACGGCUUACCAAGGCGACGAUCAGUAGGUGGUCUGAGAGGAUGAUCAGCCACAUUGGGACUGGGAUACGGCCCAAACUCCUACGGGAGGCAGCAGUGGGGAAUAUUGGACAAUGGGCGCAAGCCUGAUCCAGCCAUGCCGCGUGAGUGAUGAAGGCCCGAGGGUUGUAAAGCUCUUUUGUGCGGGAAGAUAAUGACGGUACCGCAGGAAUAAGCCCCGGCUAACUUCGUGCCAGCAGCCGCCGUAA